GUUCCGUAAAGAGCUCGACUGUUGUUCUUGCAAGAAUGCACCCAAACAAUGAUAAUAAGUGAAACAAUGAUUGAUAAAAUGAUAGCAAUGCUCAAUUUCCAAAUCAGAAUUUGCCUGCCAAUUGAUGUCGGAAAGAACAUCCUUUUCUGAGAACUGGCGUCCUCUUAGAAAGGUUUUUGAAGGGCAAAGGUCUGGUCUUCAUCAUAUCGCUCAGUUUUCUUUUUUCUUUCAUUAUAAGUAUCCUCGUAGGAUAAAUUUUAAUCUGAACCUAAACUAAUUCCCUGUCAAACAAACUAGAAAUGAAAACUUUUACAAAGGUACUAAAGGGCAACCCUUGGAACGAACUCUCUUUGGUUAUGCCUAGACUAGAAAAAAGCUAUUUUUAUUAGGUACAGAAGUAGACCUGAGUGUUGGACUCUGGAAUAGGCACCACCUUGCCCAGGCAGAGAGGAAAUGAGCAUGACUCUUCCUCAGUCAGUGAUAUUAACAAGCCGAAGGCAGCAGAAGACUGAUCAAGGCAGAAGGGUGACUGGUUUAUGAAAGAGCUGAACUAUUUAUUAGCCCACAUUAAUCUCACAUACAAAUAAAUAUAUGUGAAAAUUUAGAGUAAGAAACUUGAGGCCAGCUCCUAGAUGUGCAGUUUACAGAGCAAAGUUCCACUAAAAUUCUGCGUCACUCUCUGUGUGAGUCAUUUAUUUAAUUUUUAAACAAGCAUAAGGUGUCUUUGUGUUCACUCAA
rnacentral:lncRNA from 1 species